GACGAACGCUGGCGGCGUGCUUAACACAUGCAAGUCGAACGGAAAGGCCCUGCUUGCAGGGUACUCGAGUGGCGAACGGGUGAGUAACACGUGGGUGAUCUGCCCUGCACUUCGGGAUAAGCCUGGGAAACUGGGUCUAAUACCGGAUAGGAGCCAUUUUUAGUGUGAUGGUUGGAAAGUUUUUUCGGUGUAGGAUGAGCUCGCGGCCUAUCAGCUUGUUGGUGGGGUAAUGGCCUACCAAGGCGGCGACGGGUAGCCGGCCUGAGAGGGUGGACGGCCACAUUGGGACUGAGAUACGGCCCAGACUCCCACGGGGGGCAACAGGUGGGAAUAUUGCACAAUGGGCGCAAGCCUGAUGCAGCGACGCCGCGGUGGGGAUGACGGCCUUCGGGUUGUAAACUCCUUUCGCUAGGGACGAAGCUUUUUGUGACGGUACCUAGAUAAGAAGCACCGGCUAACUACGUG
rnacentral:rRNA from 1 species